rnacentral:rRNA from 1 species
UACGUAGGGUGCGAGCGUUUGUCCGGAAUUAUUGGGCGUAAAGAGCUCGUAGGCGGCUUGUCGCGUCGGAUGUGAAAGCCCGGGGCUUUAACUCCGGGUCUGCAUUCGAUACGGGCAGGCUAGAGUUCGGUAGGGGAGACUGGAAUUCCUGGUGUAGCGGUGAAAUGCGCAGAUAUCAGGAGGAACACCGGUGGCGAAGGCGGGUCUCUGGGCCGUAACUGACGCUGAGGAGCGAAAGCGUGGGGAGCGAACAGG